AAUCUGUGUUGCUUCUAUUUCAAAGACGCCGCCCACCAACUCCCAUUACCUCAAGCUGGAAGGUUAAUUGCUAAAUGAAAACUAACGUGCCUUCACCAAAUGAAAAGGAAAUGAAUGUGUAUUACAUCAAUCACCAAUCACCUCUUCAGUGUGUGCCCCAUUUCCAAAUUGAAAACAAACAUCUUUCUCUAAAAGAAAAUUAGUAUCCGCGUGUGCAUCUCAUUCUUCAAAGCCAAAAUCAGCACACGUGCUUCCUAUGGACGUGAAAACAUCUACCAACCUUCACCUAAUUUUCUCUUCAACUCACGGAAAUUAUGGUGCAGCUCAACAAGCAACUUCUACCAUCACAUUGCUAAAUAAAAUAAAAGAAAGUGUUUCUACAAUUGUAAGGUUGAUGUGACGUGUGAAAAGAAUUGAAAGAUGAAUAAAAUAAAAUUCAUUCUACAAUCACCAUUUCAUACUACCGGUACCGAGAAAGAAAUUGGGCAUUUAAUACCAUGUAACAGCGUGUGCACAGCUUUUGAAAGCAAGGAAAUGAAGAAAAAAAUACUACCUUGCACAAAACUAAAGGGAAAGAACGUUUCUUUAUUAUUCAACCAAAAGGAAAA
rnacentral:lncRNA from 1 species